UCCGUAGGUGAACCUGCGGAAGGAUCAUUACAGUAUUCUUUUUGCCAGCGCUUAAUUGCGCGGCGAAAAAACCUUACACACAGUGUUUUUUGUUAUUACAAGAACUUUUGCUUUGGUCUGGACUAGAAAUAGUUUGGGCCAGAGGUUUACUGAACUAAACUUCAAUAUUUAUAUUGAAUUGUUAUUUAUUUAAUUGUCAAUUUGUUGAUUAAAUUCAAAAAAUCUUCAAAACUUUCAACAACGGAUCUCUUGGUUCUCGCAUCGAUGAAGAACGCAGCGAAAUGCGAUAAGUAAUAUGAAUUGCAGAUUUUCGUGAAUCAUCGAAUCUUUGAACGCACAUUGCGCCCUCUGGUAUUCCAGAGGGCAUGCCUGUUUGAGCGUCAUUUCUCUCUCAAACCUUCGGGUUUGGUAUUGAGUGAUACUCUUAGUCGAACUAGGCGUUUGCUUGAAAUGUAUUGGCAUGAGUGGUACUGGAUAGUGCUAUAUGACUUUCAAUGUAUUAGGUUUAUCCAACUCGUUGAAUAGUUUAAUGGUAUAUUUCUCGGUAUUCUAGGCUCGGCCUUACAAUAUAACAAACAAGUUUGACCUCAAAUCAGGUAGGAUUACCCGCUGAACUUAAGCAUAUCAAUA
rnacentral:rRNA from 1 species